CAUAGUCACCUCACCAGAGAAUCAUAGAGUAUCUCAAAAGCUGGAAGGGACCCUUAAGGAUCAUCGAGUCUGACUCCCUGCUCCUCGCAGGACUACCAGUUAAAAAAAUUAUCAUAAUUCAGAAAAAAAUAGUCUCAUUCUACAAUAUGGUAGUUAAAUGAUUUGCCUCAAGCUGAUAUUACUGUUCAUUUUUAACUGUUGUUAUUAACAAC